AAGAUUUGACAUCGUACAAUGCAGCAAGCCAAAUCUGCAGAUUAAAGAAUGUUUUAACCUGCAGAAUAAGACUCGUGCAACCGGCCCUUAAGAAAAUACUUAAUUCGAGGCAAAGUCGAUUCGAUUUGCCAACACUGUCUUCAUUCUUUGAAGGAUCGGACACUUCCAAUCAAAAGCGUUAUGGUCGGUUUUGGUAGCCUUUUCAUUGUGACAAUUGUUACAGACUGGUGUUCUCUCCUUAUUUCGUCAUUCUUUGUACCUAUGUAAUUCAUUACACUGGCUGCAUGUUGGUAGGCCAUCUUUGCAAUCCUUUGCUAAAUGUCCGACUUUAUAGCAGUUAUAACACUGCAUUACGGAGAGAAAAUUCUCGACCUUCACCGCACCCAUUCUAUGUUUACUUUUUGGCUCUUCACAUGAUGUGCAUGCAGCCUGCCAGACACCUCAAACACACACAGCUGCAGGCUUGCCUCUCCUUAUUCCCCAGUUGGAAGCGGGGAAUACACUUCUGUGACAGCUCUUCCUGUGUGUUAUACAUUGCUGUUAAUUCUUCAUUUUGCUCAUAGAGCAAAAUGAAGAAUUAACAGCUCACGAUAUCCGUUCUUUGGAUAGUUGUUGUAAUGCCAGUGACUAUUACUCGAGGCCGCCUUGGCUUCGGCUCUCGAGCAUUCAGAUCAGGAAUGUUCUGCACUGCAGUUGUCAGUUUCGCUUUAUCUGAAGGAUGGGCCACCUCCACCUCCACCACUAGCCUGCCUCUCUUCAUCUUCCUUAAACUUUUCACCCCGAUCUUAAGGGUUGCAGUGCUUAUCUUUUCUUUCAGGAUCUUUGUAGCUUCCGCAUCCUGACUUUCAUUGUGAGGGUCGAUUACUAUUAUCUCUCAUGUUACAGGUUUCGGCCUCGGACCUAUUCCUGCUACAGCAGCAUAGGUGAGUGCCACUUAUUCCUUUUGCUGGGAUAAUUUGUCCACCUUCUCUGUGUGCUUAUUGAGCUUUGAGAUUUCUCUUGCUCUUCAAUUAUAUACGAUAACUGGUUGACUUUUCCAGUUAUUAAAUUAAAAUGUUCUUUUGUUGCAUACAGUACCCCAGUUGUUCUGCAGAUACUGCACUAGAUCUGCCUGCAGGCUCCUGGCCAGCCCAAGACAGGGACUUUCCCUCUGAACACCAUCCACUUCACUGUCACUUGAGGAAUGUCUUUUCCUGUUGGGAGUCACUUUCUCCCCCAUGGAGCAGACAGCCUCCAUGUCUUCAUCUGUGUUCUAUUGCACGGCCACUGAUUAGCUUCACCUGUAGGGGGAAAUCCCAGCCCAAACUGGUUGCUGAC
rnacentral:lncRNA from 1 species